GCUCCUCUGGUUCCCACAGCCCGCCUGCCAAUCUGCGGAUGCAGGCGGCUGCGACCCAGCUGAAGUUGGACCCUCCGUUAUACAGGUAAGGAGAGAACAGGACGCCCAGGAGAGUGUCCAGAGAAACACCAGCACUUACUAGGGGCAGGGAGGACGAUCCAGAAGAAAGAUCGGAGAGUAGCAUCAAGGAGGAGGGGGAAAACCCUGGGAAGUUUCAAGGAUGCCAUGAAUAACAGUCAGUCUCGACUGCUGCCAGGAAGCAGGUAAGAUGAGGACAGAAAACUUUCUUGUACUUCGGAACACCAGUUUGGUAAGAGCGAUGCCAUUGUGAGGAAGUGGAGACACAGCGUCGAUUGUUCCUUUCUCAAAGUUUGCCUUCAAGAGAAAGCUAGAGCCAGAAGAUGUGGGACAUCACCUCAAAUGAAUUGGGAGACUUUCAUCUUUCUCUGUGCCUCUUUUUUUUCUCUUAAUAUUUUGUGUGUGCUUACAAAAGCAGGUACAAAACACUUACAAUGUUUCAGGUGCACAACUCCGUGAUUCUUAUACACAUAUGUUACUUUUAUAAUAGACAUAUCUAUUAUUGUUAGGUUAUUUUCCAUUAUAGAUAUUUCAGAUAAUUUUAUAUUAUAGGUAUUCCAUUAGAGAUAUUGACAAACUAUUGACUAUAGUUACCUACGGUAUACAGUAAACCUUUGUUGCUUGUUGCACAUCUGUUUUUUUAAUUAGAAUCUAGAAAUAAAAAAAAAGAAAUCUAGCAAUCUAUUCAUACUAAGUCAAAAAAGUGGAAUCAUAAUGUCAUGUUUUUUAGCUAUAUGCCUCUUUUUUUUGCCAUAACACGCAGCAAGUGGCAUAUUAGUUCCCCAACCAGGGAUCAAACCCAAGUCCCCUGCAUUGGAAGCAUGGAGUCUUAACCACUGGACCACUGAGGAAGUCCCUGUCUGUGCCAUUUUUCAUUUCUCAUAUUGACGACCAUUGGAAUCUAGUGGAUGUGAUCCAAAUAAGGUCAUGCUGGAGUAGGGCGGGCCCUAAAUCCAUGACAAGUAUCCUCCUAAGAAGAGAGAAAUUUAGACACAGACACACAGGGAAGGCCAAUCGAUGGUAGAGACAGAGUUUUGCAGCCACAAACUGAGGAGCUCCUGGAACCACCAGAAACUGAAAGAAACAAGGAGAGAUUCUUCCCUAGAGCUUUCAGAGGGAACACAGCCCUGUU